rnacentral:rRNA from 1 species
CAGUCGCCGCGGUAAUACGGAGGGUGCAAGCGUUAAUCGGAAUUACUGGGCGUAAAGCGCACGCAGGCGGUUUGUUAAGUCAGUUGUGAAAUCCCCGAGCUUAACUUGGGAACUGCAUUUGAAACUGGCAAGCUAGAGUCUUGUAGAGGGGGGUAGAAUUCCAGGUGUAGCGGUGAAAUGCGUAGAGAUCUGGAGGAAUACCGGUGGCGAAGGCGGCCCCCUGGACAAAGACUGACGCUCAGGUGCGAAAGCGUGGGGAGCAAACAGGAUUAGAUACCCCUGUAGUCCCUGUCUCUUAUAC